GACGAACGCUGGCGGCGUGCUUAGCACAUGCAAGUCGAACGGAAAGGCCCCUUUGGGGGUACUCGAGUGGCGAACGGGUGCGUAACACGUGAGUAACCUGCCCUUGACUUCGGGAUAACUUCAGGAAACUGGGGCUAAUACCGGAUAGGAAUCCUUGCUGCAUGGUGGGGGUUGGAAAGCUUCGGCGGUUUUGGAUGGACUCGCGGCUUAUCAGCUUGUUGGUGGGGUAGUGGCUUACCAAGGCUUUGACGGGUAGCCGGCCUGAGAGGGCGACCGGCCACAUUGGGACUGAGAUACGGCCCAGACUCCUACGGGAGGCAGCAGUGGGGAAUAUUGCACAAUGGGCGGAAGCCUGAUGCAGCAACGCCGCGUGCGGGAUGACGGCCUUCGGGUUGUAAACCGCUUUCAGCAGGGGCGAAGCUUGUGGUGACGGUACCUGCAGAAGAAGCACCGGCUAACUACGUG
rnacentral:rRNA from 1 species